rnacentral:rRNA from 1 species
CCUACGGGAGGCUGCAGUGAGGAAUAUUGGUCAAUGGACGAGAGUCUGAACCAGCCAAGUAGCGUGAAGGAUGACUGCCCUCUGGGUUGUAAACUUCUUUUAUAUGGGAAUAAAACGUUCCACGUGUCGGAUUUUGUAUGUACCAUAUGAAUAAGGAUCGGCUAACUCCGUGCCAGCAGCCGCGGUAAUACGGAGGAUCCGAGCGUUAUCCGGAUUUAUUUGGUUUAAAGGGAGCGUCGGUGGAUUGUUAAGUCAGUUGUGAAAGUUUGGGGCUCAACCGUAAAAUUGCAGUUGAAACUGGCAGUCUUGAGUACAGGAGAGGUGGGCGGAAUUCGUGGUGUAGCGGUGAAAUGCUUAGAUAUCACGAAGAACUCCGAUUGCGAAGGCAGUUCACUGGACUGCAACUGACACUGAGGCUCGAAAGUGUGGGGAUCAAACAGGAUUAGAUACCCCGGUAGUC